rnacentral:rRNA from 1 species
GAUGAACGCUAGCUACAGGCUUAACACAUGCAAGUCGAGGGGAAACGAUAGAGAAAGCUUGCUUUUUCUAGGCGUCGACCGGCGCACGGGUGAGUAACGCGUAUCCAACCUGCCCACCACUUGGGAAUAACCUUGCGAAAGUAAGACUAAUACCCAAUGAUAUCUCUAGAAGACAUCUGAAGGAGAUUAAAGAUUUAUCGGUGAUGGAUGGGGAUGCGUCUGAUUAGUUUGUUGGCGGGGUAACGGCCCACCAAGGCGACGAUCAGUAGGGGUUCUGAGAGGAAGGUCCCCCACAUUGGAACUGAGACACGGUCCAAACUCCUACGGGAGGCAGCAGUGAGGAAUAUUGGUCAAUGGGCGAGAGCCUGAACCAGCCAAGUAGCGUGCAGGAUGACGGCCCUAUGGGUUGUAAACUGCUUUUAUAAGGGAAUAAAGUGAGCCUCGUGAGGCUUUUUGCAUGUACCUUAUGAAUAAGGACCGGCUAAUUCCGUGCCAGCAGCAGCCGCUG